ACCUCAAAAGACAAGCGAAAGCGAAAGUUGAGGCCGUUAUUCAUUGGCACUAAUUCUAGUAUAUUGACAGCUAAUAUUUCGGCAAGCUUUUGAUACCGUUCAACAUCUUACAUUAGGUUAAGUUUCCUCAAAUGAAAUUUUACAACUGAUUUCCUUUAUUAGAUUGGUAUAUUGUAUAGGUUCAUAGAAUGGUAGAGGUAUGAUAACAGACAAUAAUAGACCACUUCGUAAUAAAUGAAUUCAUGGGACAAACAAUUGCCAUAUCAAACCAUCUAGUUGAGAAUAUAUUAAUUCUUACAUAUUAUUG
rnacentral:lncRNA from 1 species